AGACUACCUCACAUCCGGUGACUCAUUAGAAGGAGUGAUUGAGCAUAUAUUUGUGUUAGAGUAGGUAGAUAGAUAUGAGCAGAGGAGAUAAAGGACAAAUUGACCAAAAAACAAAACAAAACCCAUGCUCAAGUAAACAAGGGAAAGGGAGAAUAGAAAACUAAAACAGCCAUCAAAAUUAGACGAAGACAGGGAAAAGAAAUGCAGUAAAAAUGACUCCUAGCACCAAAAGGACAUCUGCAGACACACGACAUUCUAAGAAGCCCACCAGUUAGGCAGACCCACGAAAUUCUAGGGAGCCUACCAGCUAAAGGACGAAUGGUGCAGGGAGAUUAGCAUAAAGCGUGGGAGGGGCAAGAAUAAAACAAAGGCCAGGAUUUAGACCCCCGGAUGUACUUGAAUACAGCUUUGAUGCUCUCUGCAAUUUCCCCGUCUCUCGCGUUGAAAUCCUUCCUCCCGGAGACGAGAACCUGGUCUUGCUGAUCCCCAGCGCCGCUGACAGUUCUAACCGCGAGCCCGGAGCCGGUUCAAGAAAGCCCCAAAUGGUUACAACUAGUGCACCUGUAAAUGAUGCUUCGCCAGGGUUUUCAACCCGCCCCGCCCCAUACACAUACGCAGAGACAACUCAACCCCUUGAUCAAGCUGGCCAAAGAUUCUGAUUCUGAGAAACCUACCCUCUGCCCUGACAGACAGCAAGAGAAUGAGACCCAAUCCCCAACUUCGCCCGUUUGUCAGCAGGAAGUAGCCAGAUGAUUGUCUACGUCCAUGAUCUCCCAAUGAAUUGGGUCUCAUAACUCUUGAGGGGGGAAAUGUUAGAGUAGGUAGUUAGAUAGAUAUGAGCAGGGCAGAGAAAGGACAAAAGGACCAAAAAACCGUGCUUAGGUAAACAAGGGAAAGGAUGAAUAGAAAACUAAAACAGCCAUCAAAGGCUGAAUGGUGCAGGAGAUUAGUACAAAGCAUGGGAGGGGCAAGAAUAAGUCAAAAGCCAGGACUUAGACCCAAUGGGGCACUCCAGCUUUGCUUGAUGUACUUUCUCUUGAAUAAAGCUUUGCUGCUUGCUGCAA